UUACGGUCAUAUCACGUUCCAACACCAGUUCUCUUCCGAUCACAGAAGUUAAGCAACGUUGAGGCUGGACAGUACCUAGAUGGGUGAUCAUUUGAGAAUGCCAUGUG